rnacentral:rRNA from 1 species
CAUUGCCAGUAUUAGAGGCACUGCCUGCCCAGUGACAUUAGUUAAACGGCCGCGGUAUCCUGACCGUGCAAAGGUAGCAUAAUCAUUUGUUCCUUAAUUAGGGACUUGUAUGAACGGCCCCACGAGGGUUUAACUGUCUCUUACUUUUAAUCAGUGAAAUUGACCUUCCCGUGAAGAGGCGGGAAUACAAAAAUAAGACGAGAAGACCCUAUGGAGCUUAAAUUAAUAUGUUCAACAGAAUUUAAUUAUAAUCCAAUAGGAAUAAAAAUAUUCUAACUGAACAAUAAAUUUUGGUUGGGGUGACCUCGGAGUAUAACAUAACCUCCGAGCAAUUAAACCAAGACUUACCAGUCAAGGCCAUAUAACUUAUUGAUCCAAUCUUAUUGAUCAACGAAACAAGUUACCCUAGGGAUAACAGCGCAAUCCUAUUUAAGAGUUCAUAUCGACAAUAGGGUUUACGACCUCGAUGUUGGAUCAGGACACCCAAAUGGUGCAGCAGCUAUUAAAGGUUCGUUU